AACGCAACUUGCACUCAUUGGUAUUCCAAUGAGUACGCCUGUUUCAGUAUCAAAAACAACCCUUAUUCAAAUAUUUUGUUUGAAUAGACUUGAGCGUAGUAAGUUUACUUAAGACGCUUUCAAUACACUAAGGCCUGAUACUGUUUCACUGCCUAUAUUUUUUUAAAUUAAAAAAAUAAACAGCGACUGAAACUGUGGUUAAGGCCUCCCAAAUAAUUUUUUAAACUUGAUCUGAAAUCAGGUGGGAUUACCCGCUGAACUUAA
rnacentral:misc_RNA from 1 species